ACUCGGCUGAGGCCCGGGCCUCCCUGAUCACUCUCCACUAGAUGCGCUGGAAGGGCGCCAGGGCCACGGGGAGGGAACCCUGCAGGCAGACACCAUGGCUUAAAGGGUCGGGGCUCCCAGGUCCACUCUGGAAGACUAUAUAGACAGGUCGUGUUCCCAUUCAGCCCUGCAGCCUCCUCACCAGCCUCUCCCACCUGUCCCACACCGCACCCGAGCCACCUGCAGAGGCCGAACAUGAGCAGCCCACAAGCUCCAGCACUCGAAUCCCACCCCCGACACACACACCUGGAAAAGGGGCGUAUCCCCAAGAGGAGCUCAGAGGUGAUCUAAGGAAUACAUCAAAGCUUCCCUAGGGGCUUCACAGACACCCCUCAGCUCCGCCUCCCCUCCCCACCUGCUCACAGGCUGAUGUGAGGACGGAAUGAGAUGCAGCGACUCCACUGCCACCUGCUCCCAGCAGAAAGUGUGCAAGAGUGCGCAUGCGCGUGCGCACAGAGGCAAGUUCACCGAGAACCGCGUCCAACAAGGACCACAGCAGCAAUCUUUGAUGGGGAAAAGUGAGGCCCGGGGAGACAGAGAGACUUGCCAGAGGUCCUGGAGACAGCCAUCAGGAGGCAGGACUGGAAGUCAGCUGGGAACCGGAAAUCCACAGAGGUCAUCUCAGGCAGCCUCAAGCUGUGAGCAAUGGGCCAGGUGAUAUGUGCAGGCAGAGACUGCCCAACUCCCCAGGAUACCAAGAGGAAGGACAGGGAGACGAGCUGGUCCUGGGGGUACUGUCCUCAAGCCCCCAAAUCAGGAUACCACAACAACCUCCACUACUGGAAGCCAAAUCUGCCCCAUCUGAGGACCCUGGAUAAUGAAGCAUCUACCUUCUGAAAAAAAUGAGAGUAUGACCAAGAAAACCAACUGUGCAUACAGCCAGCCUGGUCUUUCCUGAGGCCAAGAGUCCAGACCUGACCCACCCUGGGAAGGUGCUUCAAGGAAGAAAGAAAACACAUCAAUUAUUUAUGUCAAAGAACCAGGUGCAGACAAGGCUGGUGGCAACCGCUCAGGGACACCAAUCCUGACACAAAAUGGGAGAAAUGUAAUAAAAAUAUUAAUAGUUAA